AACGAACGCUGGCGGCACGUUUUAAGCAUGCAAGUCGAACGGUAGAUAGUGCUUGCACUAUCGAGAGUGGCGAACGGGUGAGUAACACGUAGAUGAUCUACCUUUUAGUUGGGGAUAGCCCAUGGAAACAUGGAGUAAUACCGAAUAAUCUCUUAACCUCUUGUGGUUUUGAGGAAAGAACCGUUUGGUUCGCUGAAAGAUGAGUCUGCGCACUAUUAGCUAGUUGGUGGGGUAAUGGCCUACCAAGGCGACGAUAGUUAGCCGACCUGAGAGGGUGAUCGGCCACAUUGGGACUGAGACACGGCCCAGACUCCUACGGGAGGCAGCAGCUAAGAAUCUUCCGCAAUGGACGCAAGUCUGACGGAGCGAUGCCGCGUGGAUGAAGAAUGUCGAGAGAUUGUAAAAUCCUUUUAUGAGUGAGGAAUAAU
rnacentral:rRNA from 1 species